rnacentral:rRNA from 1 species
CCUACGGGAGGCAGCAGUGAGGAAUAUUGGUCAAUGGACGAGAGUCUGAACCAGCCAAGUAGCGUGAAGGAUGACUGCCCUAUGGGUUGUAAACUUCUUUUAUAUGGGAAUAAAAUGUUCCACGUGUGGGAUUUUGUAUGUACCAUAUGAAUAAGGAUCGGCUAACUCCGUGCCAGCAGCCGCGGUAAUACGGAGGAUCCGAGCGUUAUCCGGAUUUAUUGGGUUUAAAGAGAGCGUAGGUGGAUUGUUAAGUCAGUUGUGAAAGUUUGCGGCUCAACCGUAAAAUUGCAGUUGAAACUGGCAGUCUUGAGUACAGUAGAGGUGGGCGGAAUUCGUGGUGUAGCGGUGAAAUGCUUAGAUAUCACGAAGAACUCCGAUUGCGAAGGCAGUUCACUGGACUGCAACUGACACUGAGGCUCGAAAGUGUGGGUAUCAAACAGGAUUAGAUACCCGAGUAGUC